CGAUCACUGCCUCAUUGCCUGCACCCGUAAUGGGUCAGCGGUCAAACGACCUCCACUCAUCACUGUCAAACGCUCCCUGAAACAUUUCAACGAGCAAGCCUUUCUAAUUGACCUGGCCCUGGUAUCCUGGAAGGAUAUUGACCUCAUCCCGUCAGUAGAGGAUGCCUGGUUAUUUUUUAAAAAUGCCUUCCUCUCCAUCUUAAAUAAGCAUGCCCCUUUCAAGAAAUUUAGAACCAGGAACAGAUAUAGCCCUUGGUUCUCCCCAGACCUGACUGCCCUUAACCAACACAAAAAUAUCCUGUGGCGUUCUGCAUUAGCAUCGAACUGCCCCCGCGAUAUGCAACUUUUUAGGGAAGUUAGAAACCAAUACACACAGGCAGUUAGAAACGCCAAGGCUAGCUUUUUCAAACAGAAAUUUGCUUCGUGCAACUCCAACUCUAAAAAGUUCUGGGACAUUGUAAAGUCCAUGGAGAAUAAGAACACCUCCUCCCAACUGCCCACUGCACUGAGGAUAGGAAACUCUGUCACCACCGAUAAGCCCACUAUAAUUGAGAAUUUCAAUAAGCAUUUUUCUACGGCUGGCCAUGCUUUCCACCUAACUACCCCUACUGCAUUCAACAGCACUGCACCCCCCACAGCUACUCGCCCAAGCCUCCCCCAUGUGGACAACUACAAAUACCUAGGUGUCUGGUUAGACUGUAAACUCUCCUUCCAGACUCACAUCAAUCAUCUCCAAUCCAAAGUGAAAUCUAGAAUUGGCUUCCUAUUUCGCAACAAAGCAUCCUUCACUCAUGCUGCCAAACAUACCCUCGUAAAACUGACCAUCCUACCAAUCCUCGACUUCGGCGAUGUCAUUUACAAAAUAGCCUCCAAUACCCUACUCAACAAGCUGGAUGCAGUCUAUCACAGUGCCAUCCGUUUUGUCACCAAAGCCCCAUAUACAACCCACCACUGCGACCUGUAUGCUCUCGUUGGCUGGCCUUCACUUCAUCAUCGUCGCCAAACACAUUGGCUCCAGGUCAUCUACAAGACCCUGCUAGGUAAAGUCCCCCCUUAUCUCCGCUCACUGGUCACCAUAGCAGCACCCACCUGUAGCACGCGCUCCAGCAGGUAUAUCUCUCUGGUCACCCCUAAAGCCAACUCCUCCUUUGGUCGUCUCUCCUUCCAGUUCUCAGCUGCCAAUGAUUGGAACAAACUACAAAAAUCUCUAAAACUGGAAACACUUAUCUCCCUCACUAGCUUUAAGCACCAGCUGUCAGAGCAGCUCACAGAUCUCUGCACCUGUACAUAGCCCAUCUUUAAUUGAGCCCAAACUACUACCUUUUCCCCUACUGUAUUUAUUUAUUUUAUUUAUUUUGCUCCUUUGCACCAUAUUAUUUAUAUUUUAACUUUUAACUUUCUUCAAAC
rnacentral:lncRNA from 1 species